UACGUAGGCAGCGAGCGUUGUUCGGAAUUACUGGGCGUAAAGAGUGUGUAGGCGGUGCUCCCAGUCUGUUGUGAAAUCUCCCGGCUCAACUGGGGAGGGUCACGCGAUACUGCUCGACUCGAAGGCAGGAGAGGGAAGUGGAAUUCCCGGUGUAGUGGUGAAAUGCGUAGAUAUCGGGAGGAACACCAGUGGCGAAGGCGACUUCCUGGCCUGUUCUUGACGCUGAGGCGCGAAAGCUAGGGUAGCAAACGGG
rnacentral:rRNA from 1 species